rnacentral:lncRNA from 1 species
CAAAAAAUCAGGUAGCUUGAUUUUUGAAGACGAAGACAAAGCUCGAUAAGGAGGACAUCGUGAAACAUGAUGCAGUAUAUAAUCCCGUAUACUAGUCAAAUUUUGUGUUUAUGAUUUAUCAAAAACAAAAACCAACUCAGUUAUUGGAAUAAAGAUCCAUUAGCGCCGCGGAACAAUGUGCCAAAGUGCGUAGAUUAUCCGAUGUAAACAAAAGAUUUGGAUCGUGUUAAAUCCAAAACCGAGUUUUGAUGUGAACAAUUAAUAUUCAAAGAAUAAUGAUGUUAAUUUGUGUAGCAACGGAGCGGGGAUCAUGAUCAUGAAUAAAAAUGAAAGAGAAUUUGGAAGUUAAAACUCUGCACAUUCGAUAUCUAAAAUACUUGACUUUACACAGCUUCAGAAGUUCAGAGGAUAGAAGAGGACUCCGAAAUAAAACAACACAGAAUUUUACACAUUUUCAUUAAGAUUAUAACCUACCAUUCCCAGCGAAAUCUCAUUUCCACUCUUCCAGCGGCAACUGACUCUUCUCGUCGGAAUACGGUACUGAAAUGUGAAAAGCACUUGGCGAUUGACGAUUUCACUUGAGAAACAGAUCUAGAAGGCGACGAUGAACAAUUGUAAAUACGUGACGGCGUUGGUUUGUAGUAGUGCCCUAAUAUGAGCAUUGCUGCUGUCGGCGCCAUGAUUUGGUGAAAUCCAGAUGAAUUAUUUGAAGCAAAUUUCUUGAGAAUGAAGAAUAGUGCGUUUGCUAUGGUGAGAGUUUUUAAAUUUUAAGUUACCAGGGGAAGAAACACACCGUGGGCGCUGUUUUGUUGGUUUUCAGUUUUGGGAUCUG